rnacentral:rRNA from 1 species
CUACGGGGCGCUCCAGUGAGGAAUAUUGCACAAUGGGGGGAACCCUGAUGCAGCAACGCCGCGUGGAGGAUGACGCAUUUCGGUGUGUAAACUCCUUUUAUAUGUCAAGAAAAUGACGGUAGCAUAUGAAUAAGCGCCGGCUAACUCCGUGCCAGCAGCCGCGGUAAUACGGAGGGCGCAAGCGUUACUCGGAAUCACUGGGCGUAAAGGACGCGUAGGCGGGUUGGAAAGUCAGGUGUGAAAUCCUACAGCUUAACUGUAGAACUGCACUUGAAACUUCUAAUCUAGAGUAUGGGAGGGGGAGAUGGAAUUAGUGGUGUAGGGGUAAAAUCCGUAGAUAUCACCAGGAAUACCUAAAGCGAAGGCGAUCUCCUGGAACAUUACUGACGCUAAGGCGUGAAAGCGUGGGGAGCAAACAGGAUUAGAUACCCCCGUAGUC